rnacentral:snoRNA from 1 species
GUCGACAAUACUUCAGAGAAUCAUUUCUAUAGUAUUCGACCUUCUCUAGGUUCCCUAAAGGAGCCACAGAUCCCACCCUGGUUGAUGAGAUAUAUCCUCGACACCCUAGAGUGAANCGCUCCUGGUUGCUCUCGAACCUUUUGCGUAAAGGCGGUCAUUCCCUCCUCUUUUGGGAGUGGACUGUAUAGAGAGCGGUGAUGAUCUCGUUCCCGGCUGCGGUCUUGUCCUUUUGGACGCGCGGUCGGGGCGGGUGUCGACGGACGUCUGACAGGC